AGCUCCAAUAGCGUAUAUUAAAGUUGUUGCGGUUAAAAAGCUCGUAGUUGGAUCUCGGCGAACAGGGGGCGGUUCGUUAUUUGACGGUACUGCCCCAUUUGUUCGUAUUUUUGCAAGAGGGUUGGGGGUCCCCUUCAUUGGGUGUCUCCGGUCGCUUGCAGGUUUACUUUGAAAAAAUUAGAGUGCUCAAAGCAGGCUUACACGCUUGAAUAUUCGUGCAUGGAAUAAUAGAAUAGGAAGUCGUUUCUAUUUUGUUGGUUUUCGGAAAAUGACUUAAUGAUUAAUAGGGACAAUCGGGGGCAUUAGUAUUCAAACGACAGAGGUGAAAUUCUUGGACCGUUUGAAGACUAACUACUGCGAAAGCAUUUGCCAAGAGUGUUUUCAUUA
rnacentral:rRNA from 1 species